rnacentral:tRNA from 1 species
GUGGUCGUAGCUCAAUUGGUAGAGCUCUGGUUUGUGGUACCAGCGGCUGUGGGUUCGAGUCCCAUCGAUCACC